UAUCGCACCGGUUCAAACCAAACCGGUGCGAAGAUGGGUAAAUCGCACCGGUGCGAAUGCUAUUGUAUAAAACAAUAAAAAAAAUCGGGCCUUUAUCUUCUCUCUCUCUUUCUGAGCUAAUUUCUUCUUUCUUUCUCAAUUCACUCUCCUUUUUUCUGAGCUCAUUCCCUUCAAUACUCAGCAACCCACACCAAGGAUUCAACUCACUCACAUCGCAGCCAGUUCGGGUUGCCGCCGAUUCGAGCUUUGCUUUUCCUCUUUCGUGGUUCCUCUCCAACCUCUCCAUUCAGGUGACUGUGUUGUGAUGUGCUCCUGCUCUGCCUCUCGAUUUCCCAGCAAAGCCCUACUCCGCCCACUAUUUCCUUGCUGACUGCUGGAUCUCAAGCCUUAGCCAGCGAUACCUUUACUCAGAUCUAACAACGAUGGACUUCUAUCACCCACAAAUCCGAUACUGGAUACUCUAAUAAGGAUGUUCCAGCUGAUCAAUCAUGAGACGAGCAAUCGGUGGAAGAAGAUGAGGGCUGUGAUCAUUCAUAUGUCCUCAAAGAUGAUAUUGGCUAUGUGUGCCAAGUAUGCGGAGUCAUUCAGAGGGCUAUUGAGACUAUAUUUGAUUUCCAGUACAUAAAGGCUGCUCGGGUGAGAAGUUACAGGUCUGAUUCUUGUUCUAACAGAGAGAAUGAUGACACCGACUUCAUCUGGGAUUAAGCUGCCUGGACAUGAUUUGGCCAUGACUGAAACCUCUGCUCAUCCUAGGCAUUAAAAGCAAUUGAAAGGAGGGAAUGUUGAGAGCAAAUUUUUUGAUCUUGUUGAAUACACCCUUCAGCAGGAUGAAGACUGGAAAAGAAAGGAGGCUGUCAUCAAAGAUCUGAGGGAGAUGACAAGCAAGGUAUUGCACUACUACAGGGGUGACUUCUUGGAUGAUCUUCCUGGACUUGUAGACUUCACUGUUGUUCUCAGUCUGAUUGAAGUUGAUAAGAUGAAUAAGAGGGAAAAAACAAAAUUCAGGAAAACCUCAUUGGGUUGUGCAGUCUACACUCACCCAAAGCUCAAACUUUUUUCAGACAAUAAUCCUGGUUUUGAAAAACGUUUAUUUGUGUGUAACCUUAUAUUUUAUUUUAUUGGAUGAAAAUUGUAAUUACAGCUUUUUUAAUGAAAAUAUGUAACUUUAUAUAUAUGUUAGUGUUUAUAUAUCAAUUUAAGUGUAAAUAAUGCAAAUA